rnacentral:rRNA from 1 species
GACGAACGCUGGCGGCGUGCUUAACACAUGCAAGUCGAACGGAAAGGCCCUGCUUUUGUGGGGUGCUCGAGUGGCGAACGGGUGAGUAACACGUGAGUAACCUGCCCUUGACUUUGGGAUAACUUCAGGAAACUGGGGCUAAUACCGGAUAGGAGCUCCUGCUGCAUGGUGGGGGUUGGAAAGUUUCGGCGGUUGGGGAUGGACUCGCGGCUUAUCAGCUUGUUGGUGGGGUAGUGGCUUACCACGGCUUUGACGGGUAGCCGGCCUGGGAGGGUGACCGGCCCCCUAGGGCUUGGGGAAGGGCCAGUACGGAAUCGGGGGGAAGGGGGGGGAGAUUGUGCAAACGGGGCGGAGGGGGGGAGGAAGGACCCCGGGUGGGGAAGAACGGCUUUUGGGUUAAAAACCGUUUUCGCCUAUGACGAGGCGGGGUGACGGGAAAUGGGGAAAGAGGCCGCGCUAACCUACUG